rnacentral:rRNA from 1 species
AGGCCUAACACAUGCAAGUCGAACGGUAACAGGAAGAAGCUUGCUUCUUUGCUGACGAGUGGCGGACGGGUGAGUAAUGUCUGGGAAACUGCCAGAUGGAGGGGGAUAACUACUGGAAACGGUAGCUAAUACCGCAUAACGUCGCAAGACCAAAGAGGGGGACCUUCGGGCCUCUUGCCAUCGGAUGUGCCCAGAUGGGAUUAGCUAGUAGGUGGGGUAAAGGCUCACCUAGGCGACGAUCCCUAGCUGGUCUGAGAGGAUGACCAGCCACACUGGAACUGAGACACGGUCCAGACUCCUACGGGAGGCAGCAGUGGGGAAUAUUGCACAAUGGGCGCAAGCCUGAUGCAGCCAUGCCGCGUGUAUGAAGAAGGCCUUCGGGUUGUAAAGUACUUUCAGCGGGGAGGAAGGGAGUAAAGUUAAUACCUUUGCUCAUUGACGUUACCCGCAGAAGAAGCACCGGCUAACUCCGUGCCAGCAGCCGCGGUAAUACGGAGGGUGCAAGCGUUAAUCGGAAUUACUGGGCGUAAAGCGCACGCAGGCGGUUUGUUAAGUCAGAUGUGAAAUCCCCGGGCUCAACCUGGGAACUGCAUCUGAUACUGGCAAGCUUGAGUCUCGUAGAGGGGGGUAGAAUUCCAGGUGUAGCGGUGAAAUGCGUAGAGAUCUGGAGGAAUACCGGUGGCGAAGGCGGCCCCCUGGACGAAGACUGACGCUCAGGUGCGAAAGCGUGGGAGCAAACAGGAUUAGAUACCCUGGUAGUCCACGCCGUAAACGAUGUCGACUUGGAGGUUGUGCCCUUGAGGCGUGGCUUCCGGAGCUAACGCGUUAAGUCGACCGCCUGGGGGGUACGGCCGCAAGGUUAAAACUCAAAUGAAUUGACGGGGGCCCGCACAAGCGGUGGAGCAUGUGGUUUAAUUCGAUGCAACGCGAAGAACCUUACCUGGUCUUGACAUCCACAGAACUUUCCAGAGAUGGAUUGGUGCCUUCGGGAACUGUGAGACAGGUGCUGCAUGGCUGUCGUCAGCUCGUGUUGUGAAAUGUUGGGUUAAGUCCCGCAACGAGCGCAACCCUUAUCCUUUGUUGCCAGCGGUCCGGCCGGGAACUCAAAGGAGACUGCCAGUGAUAAACUGGGGGAAGGUGGGGAUGACGUCAAGUCAUCAUGGCCCUUACGACCAGGGCUACACACGUGCUACAAUGGUGCAUACAAAGAGAAGCGACCUCGCGAGAGCAAGCGGACCUCAUAAAGUGCGUCGUAGUCCGGAUUGGAGUCUGCAACUCGACUCCAUGAAGUCGGAAUCGCUAGUAAUCGUGGAUCAGAAUGCCACGGUGAAUACGUUCCCGGGCCUUGUACACACCGCCCGUCACACCAUGGGAGUGGGUUGCAAAAGAAGUAGGUAGCUUAACCUUCGGGAGGGCGCUUACCACUUUGUGAUUCAUGACUGGGGUG